UACGUAGGGAGCAAGCGUUGUUCGGAUUUACUGGGCGUAAAGGGCGCGUAGGCGGCGCGGUAAGUCACUUGUGAAAUCUCUGAGCUUAACUCAGAACGGCCAAGUGAUACUGCAGUGCUAGAGUGCAGAAGGGGCAAUCGGAAUUCUUGGUGUAGCGGUGAAAUGCGUAGAUAUCAAGAGGAGCACCUGAGGUGAAGACGGGUUGCUGGGCUGACACUGACGCUGAGGCGCGAAAGCCAGGGGAGCAAACGGG
rnacentral:rRNA from 1 species